rnacentral:rRNA from 1 species
AUUGAACGCUGGCGGCAGGCCUAACACAUGCAAGUCGAGCGGAUGAAGGGAGCUUGCUCCUGGAUUCAGCGGCGGACGGGUGAGUAAUGCCUAGGAAUCUGCCUGGUAGUGGGGGAUAACGUCCGGAAACGGGCGCUAAUACCGCAUACGUCCUGAGGGAGAAAGUGGGGGAUCUUCGGACCUCACGCUAUCAGAUGAGCCUAGGUCGGAUUAGCUAGUUGGUGGGGUAAAGGCCUACCAAGGCGACGAUCCGUAACUGGUCUGAGAGGAUGAUCAGUCACACUGGAACUGAGACACGGUCCAGACUCCUGCGGGAGGCAGCAGUGGGGAAUAUUAGGCAAUGGGCGAGAGCCUGAUACAGCCAUGCCGCGUGUGUGAAGAAGGUCUUCGGAUUGUAAAGCACUUUAAGUUGGGAGGAAGGGCAGUAAGUUAAUACCUUGCUGUUUUGACGUUACCAACAGAAUAAGCACCGGCUAACUUCGUG